ensembl:snoRNA small nucleolar RNA, H/ACA box 11G
GGGGUGUGCUCAGAGCAGGGUGCUGAAUAAUGGCUCCUUUGUUUACAACACACUAAACAGGAACUUGGGUUUAGGCCUCACAAAU